UGGGGAAUAUUGCACAAUGGGCGCAAGCCUGAUGCAGCCAUGCCGCGUGUGUGAAGAAGGCCUUCGGGUUGUAAAGCACUUUCAGCGGGGAGGAAGGCGGUGAGGUUAAUAACCUCAUCGAUUGACGUUACCCGCAGAAGAAGCACCGGCUAACUCCGUGCCAGCAGCCGCGGUAAUACGGAGGGUGCAAGCGUUAAUCGGAAUUACUGGGCGUAAAGCGCACGCAGGCGUUCUGUCAAGUCGGAUGUGAAAUCCCCGGGCUCAACCUGGGAACUGCAUUCGAAACUGGCAGGCUAGAGUCUUGUAGAGGGGGGUAGAAUUCCAGGUGUACCGAUGAGAUGCGUAGAGCUCUGGAGGAAUACCGGUGGCGAAGGCGGCCCCCUGGACCAAGACUGACGCUCAGGUGCGAAAGCGUGGGGAGCAAACAGG
rnacentral:rRNA from 1 species